AGUAACGCGUGAGUAACCUGCCUUACACAUGGGGAUAGCCGUUGGAAACGACGAAUAAUACCCUAUGAAACUAUCACUUCGCAUGAAGCGAUAGUCAAAGUGUUAGCGGUGUAAGAUGGACUUGCGUCUGAUUAGCUAGUUGGUGAGAAAAAGCCCACCAAGGCAACGAUCAGUAGCCGGCUUGAGAGAGUGUACGGCCACAUUGGGACUGAGACACGGCCCAG
rnacentral:rRNA from 1 species